CUACGGGGGGCACCAGUCGAGAAUCUUCCGCAAUGGACGAAAGUCUGACGGAGCGACGCCGCGUGCGGGAUGAAGGCCUUCGGGUUGUAAACCGCUGUCAGUGGGGAGGAAAUGCAUCAGGGUUCUCCCUGGUGUUUGACCGAUCCGCAGAGGAAGCGCAGGCUAAGUUCGUGCCAGCAGCCGCGGUAACACGAACUGCGCGAACGUUAUUCGGAAUCACUGGGCUUAAAGUGUUCGUAGGCGGCCUUUCAAGUCGGGUGUGAAAUCCCUCGGCUCAACCGGGGAAUUGCGCCUGAUACUGUUGGGCUUGAGGGGGAUAGGGGUGAGCGGAACUGAUGGUGGAGCGGUGAAAUGCGUUGAUAUCAUCAGGAACACCGGUGGCGAAGGCGGCUCACUGGAUCUCUUCUGACGCUGAGGAACGAAAGCUAGGGGAGCGAACGGGAUUAGAUACCCGCGUAGUC
rnacentral:rRNA from 1 species